UUCAGGUCAUGCAUUUUGCCUCUUGGGGUUA
rnacentral:piRNA from 1 species